GGGCCGUAGCUCAGCCUGGUCAGAGCGCUCGGCUCAUAACCGAGUGGCCGAGGGUUCAAAUCCCUCCGGGCCCA
rnacentral:tRNA from 1 species